rnacentral:misc_RNA from 1 species
GAAAUGCGAUAAGUAAUGCGAAUUGCAGAAUUCAGUGAAUCAUCGAAUCUUUGAACGCACAUUGCGCCCCCUGGCAUUCCGGGGGGCAUGCCUGUCCGAGCGUCAUUGCUGCCCUUCAAGCCCGGCUUGUGUGUUGGGUCGUCGUCCCCUCCGGGGGACGGGCCCGAAAGGCAGCGGCGGCACCGCGUCCGGUCCUCGAGCGUAUGGGGCUUUGUCACCCGCUCGAUAAGGACCGGCCGGGCGCCAGCCGGCGUCUCCAACCUUUUUUUCUCAGGUUGACCUCGGAUCAGGUAGGGAUACCCGCUGAACUUAAGC